rnacentral:rRNA from 1 species
AGCGGCGGAUGGGUGAGUAACACGUGGGGAACCGCCCCUAAGUCUGGGAUACCAUUUGGAAACAGGUGCUAAUACCGGAUAAUAAAGCAGAUCGCAUGAUCAGCUUUUGAAAGGCGGCGUAAGCUGUCGCUAAGGGAUGGCCCCGCGGUGCAUUAGCUAGUUGGUAAGGUAACGGCUUACCAAGGCGACGAUGCAUAGCCGAGUUGAGAGACUGAUCGGCCACAUUGGGACUGAGACACGGCCCAAACUCCUACGGGAGGCAGCAGUAGGGAAUCCUCCACAAUGGACGCAAGUCUGAUGGAGCAACGCCGCGUGAGUGAAGAAGGUUUUCGGAUCGUAAAGCUCUGUUGUUGGUGAAGAAGGAUAGAGGUAGUAACUGGCCUUUAUUUGACGGUAAUCAACCAGAAAGUCACGGCUAACUACGUGCCAGCAGCCGCGGUAAUACGUAGGUGGCAAGCGUUGUCCGGAUUUAUUGGGCGUAAAGCGAGCGCAGGCGGAAAAAUAAGUCUAAUGUGAAAGCCCUCGGCUUAACCGAGGAACUGCAUCGGAAACUGUUUUUCUUGAGUGCAGAAGAGGAGAGUGGAACUCCAUGUGUAGCGGUGGAAUGCGUAGAUAUAUGGAAGAACACCAGUGGCGAAAGGCGGCUCUCUGGUCUGCAACUGACGCUGAGGCUCGAAAGCAUGGGUAGCGAACAGGAUUAGAUACCCUGGUAGUCCAUGCCGUAAACGAUGAGUGCUAAGUGU